CCUACGUGAGGCAGCAGUGAGGAAUAUUGGUCAAUGGGCUUACGCCUGAACCAGCCAAGUCGCGUGAGGGAAGACUGCCCUAUGGGUUGUAAACCUCUUUUGUCAGGGAGCAACGCCGGCUACGUGUAGCCGGACUGAGAGUACCUGAAGAAAAAGCAUCGGCUAACUCCGUGCCAGCAGCCGCGGUAAUACGGAGGAUGCGAGCGUUAUCCGGAUUUAUUGGGUUUAAAGGGUGCGUAGACGGAAUGCCAAGUCAGCGGUAAAAUCGCGGGGCUCAACCUCGCUCCGCCGGUGAAACGGGCGUUCUUGAGUGGGCGAGAAGUAUGCGGAAUGCGUGGGGGAGCGGUGAAAUGCAUAGAUAUCACGAAGAACUCCGAGUGCGAAGGCAGCAUACCGGCGCCCAACUGACGCUGAAGCACGAAAGCGUGGGUAUCGAACAGGAGUAGAUACCCGGGUAGUC
rnacentral:rRNA from 1 species